rnacentral:rRNA from 1 species
GAUGAACGCUAGCGGCAGGCCUAAUACAUGCAAGUCGAGGGGUAGAGGGAGCUUGCUUCCUUGAGACCGGCGCACGGGUGCGUAACGCGUAUGCAACCUACCUUUAUCUGGGGGAUAGCCCGGAGAAAUCCGGAUUAAUACCGCAUAAAAUCACAGAAUGGCAUUAUUCAAUGAUCAAACAUUAAUGGGAUAGAGAUGGGCAUGCGUGUCAUUAGCUAGUUGGCGGGGUAACGGCCCACCAAGGCGACGAUGACUAGGGGAUCUGAGAGGAUGACCCCCCACACUGGUACUGAGACACGGACCAGACUCCUACGGGAGGCAGCAGUAAGGAAUAUUGGUCAAUGGAGGCAACUCUGAACCAGCCAUGCCGCGUGCAGGAAGACUGCCCUAUGGGUUGUAAACUGCUUUUAUCCGGGAAUAAACCUAAAUACGUGUAUUUAGCUGAAUGUACCGGAAGAAUAAGGAUCGGCUAACUCCGUGCCAGCAGCCGCGGUAAUACGGAGGAUCCAAGCGUUAUCCGGAUUUAUUGGGUUUAAAGGGUGCGUAGGCGGCCUGUUAAGUCAGGGGUGAAAGACGGUAGCUCAACUAUCGCAGUGCCUUUGAUACUGAUGGGCUUGAAUGAACUAGAGGUAGGCGGAAUGAGACAAGUAGCGGUGAAGUGCAUAGAUAUGUCUCAGAACACCGAUUGCGAAGGCAGCUUACUAUGGUUUAAUUGACGCUGAGGCACGAAAGCGUGGGGAUCAAACAGG